rnacentral:rRNA from 1 species
UUAAUUGAAGAGUUUGAUCAUGGCUCAGAUUGAACGCUGGCGGCAGGCCUAACACAUGCAAGUCGAGCGGCAGCACAGAGAAACUUGUUUCUCGGGUGGCGAGCGGCGGACGGGUGAGUAAUGCCUGGGAAAUUGCCCUGAUGUGGGGGAUAACCAUUGGAAACGAUGGCUAAUACCGCAUGAUAGCUUCGGCUCAAAGAGGGGGACCUUCGGGCCUCUCGCGUCAGGAUAUGCCCAGGUGGGAUUAGCUAGUUGGUGAGGUAAGGGCUCACCAAGGCGACGAUCCCUAGCUGGUCUGAGAGGAUGAUCAGCCACACUGGAACUGAGACACGGUCCAGACUCCUACGGGAGGCAGCAGUGGGGAAUAUUGCACAAUGGGCGCAAGCCUGAUGCAGCCAUGCCGCGUGUGUGAAGAAGGCCUUCGGGUUGUAAAGCACUUUCAGUCGUGAGGAAGGUGGUAGUGUUAAUAGCACUAUCAUUUGACG